GACGAACGCUGGCGGCGUGCCUAAUACAUGCAAGUAGAACGCUGAAGCGAGGAGCUUGCUCUUCUUGGAUGAGUUGCGAACGGGUGAGUAACGCGUAGGUAACCUGCCUUGUAGCGGGGGAUAACUAUUGGAAACGAUAGCUAAUACCGCAUAACAAUAGGUGACACAUGUCAUUUAUUUGAAAGGGGCAAUUGCUCCACUACAAGAUGGACCUGCGUUGUAUUAGCUAGUAGGUGAGGUAACGGCUCACCUAGGCGACGAUACAUAGCCGACCUGAGAGGGUGAUCGGCCACACUGGGACUGAGACACGGCCCAGACUCCUACGGGAGGCAGCAGUAGGGAAUCUUCGGCAAUGGGGGCAACCCUGACCGAGCAACGCCGCGUGAGUGAAGAAGGGUUUCGGAUCGUAAAGCUCUGUUGUAAGUCAAGAACGAGUGUGAGAGUGGAAAGUUCACACUGUGACGGUAGCUUACCAGAAAGGGACGGCUAACUACGUG
rnacentral:rRNA from 1 species